rnacentral:rRNA from 1 species
UACGUAGGGGGCAAGCGUUGUCCGGAAUCAUUGGGCGUAAAGAGCGUGUAGGCGGCUCGGUAAGUCCGCUGUGAAAGUCCAGGGCUCAACCUCGGAUCGGCCGUGGCGACUCGUGGGCUGGAGCACUGUAGAGGCGGGUGGAAUUCCGGGUGUAGCGGUGGAAUGCGUAGAGAUCCGGAAGAACACCAGUGGCGAAGGCGGCCCGCUGGGCAGUGGCUGACGCUGAAGCGCGACAGCGUGGGGAGCAAACAGG